UAGGGUUCGAUUCCGGAGAGGGAGCCUGAGAAACGGCUACCACAUCUAAGGAAGGCAGCAGGCGCGCAAAUUACCCAAUUCUAACAGUUUGAGAGAGGUAGUAACAAGAAAUAACAAUACAAGGCAGUUAAAAUGCUUUGUAAUUGGAAUGAUAGAAAUUUAAACCCUUUUUAAAGUAUCAAUUGGAGGGCAAGUCUGGUGCCAGCAGCCGCGGUAAUUCCAGCUCCAAUAGCGUAUAUUAAAAUUGUUGCAGUUAAAAAGCUCGUAGUUGAAGUUCUGCUGAAAGUAACCGGUCUGCUUUUAAUAAAAGUGGUAUCUUGGUAUGUAUUUAGCAAUGAUGUCCUUUGAAGUGUUUUUUACUUUAUUGUAAUAAAGCAUAUUCAGGACUUUUACUUUGAGAAAAUUAGAGUGUUUCUAGCAG
rnacentral:rRNA from 1 species